rnacentral:rRNA from 1 species
ACUAUCAUCCGCCAGCAGCUUCCAGUUGUUGGCGGGCGGAUCGACGGAAACGAAAGUUUUUCGGUUCCGGGGGAAGUAUGGUUGCAAAGCUGAAACUUAAAGGAAUUGACGGAAGGGCACCACCAGGAGUGGAGCUUGCGGCUUAAUUUGACUCAACACGGGAAACCUCACCCGGCCAGUACAUCAUAAGGAUUGACAGAUUGAAAGCUCUUUCAUGAUUUGAUGAAUGGUGGUGCAUGGCCGUUCUUAGUUCGUGGCGUGAGUCGUCUGCUUAAUUGCGAUAACGAGCGAGACUCCGAUUGUUAAAUAGCUGGCAGUUCAUUUCGACUGUACAGCUUCUUAACGAGAUUCGUGGCUUCAAGUCACAAGAAAUGGAGCAAUAACAGGUCUGUGAUGCCCUUAGAUGUUCGGGGCCGCACGCGUGCUACAAUGAUGGUAACAGCGUGAUUGUCCUCGCCCGACAGGGCUUGGCAAACAGUUGAGAUAUUAUUAUGGCUGGAAUUGAGGGUUGAAAUUUUCUCUCAUGAACGAGGAAUUCCAAGUAAAUGCGAGUCAUCAACUUGCAUUGAU